UCUCAGAGUUUUCUUUCUCUUUAUCUCGGACCUCUUUCUCUCUCGCUGUUCUCCCUCUUUCGGGAUUUCUCUCCUUGUGUUCUUCGUCUCCCUCGCCGUGUUGGUGCGAAGGGUGUUCGUGGUUCGAGUGCGCAGGCGAGGAGGGUCGAGAUUCGGUGCGAGCCGGUCGCGAAAGAGUGGUUCGAAGGUUUUGUGUGGUUCGAACGGUGCGCAGGCGUCGAGGGUUGAAAGCUUGCGCGAGUUCGUCGAAGGGGUCGAGUUGUGCGCGAAGGUGUUCGAGGGUAGUGCGCCAAGCUGAGGUGAGGGUGCGCGAGAAAUCGCGUCGUGCGAGUGUAGCUGCGCGACAGGUUGCGAGAAGGUUUGUGUGAGCGUGGUUCCGCGUCGUGCGAGCGUGGUGGCGCGACGGAUCUGGGUCGCGCAAGGGGGUUUGGGCGACGGAAACCGGUUUCGGUGUUGUGCGCGUGUGUGGUGCGGUUUUCGGUCGCCGGAAUUCUUUCGCCGGCGAUUUCUAACGGUCCCAAUUUCAUAAGCGGCUCGUUCUAUUAAGUCAGCGAAAAUUCUCCGUUACAAGACUAGGUGAGCUGGUGCUGCUGCAUGACAUCAAGCAUAUGGGGGCUAGACUGUAGUUUGAAGUUAACUUUUAGUUUGAUCAUUAUUGAAUUUUAUAGAACAUUAUUACAUGGUUUGAGUUUGAAUAAAGAGGGGUCAUCUAUGAUUCC